rnacentral:rRNA from 1 species
UUCGGAAUUACUGGGCGUAAAGGGCUCGUAGGCGGCCAACUAAGUCGGAUGUGAAAUCCCCAGGCUUAACCUGGGAACUGCAUCCGAUACUGGAUGGCUUGAAUCCGGGAGAGGGAUGCGGAAUUCCAGGUGUAGCGGUGAAAUGCGCAGAUAUCAGGAAGAACACCGGUGGCGAAGGCGGCUCUCUGGGCCUUACCUGACGCUGAGGAGCGAAAGCGUGGGUAGCGAACAGG